rnacentral:rRNA from 1 species
AGUGAGCGCUGGCGGUAGGCCUAACACAUGCAAGUCGAACGGCAGCACAGUAAGAGCUUGCUCUUACGGGUGGCGAGUGGCGGACGGGUGAGGAAUACAUCGGAAUCUACUUUUUCGUGGGGGAUAACGUAGGGAAGCUUACGCUAAUACCGCAUACGACCUACGGGUGAAAGCAGGGGAUCUUCGGACCUUGCGCGAUUGAAUGAGCCGAUGUCGGAUUAGCUAGUUGGCGGGGUAAAGGCCCACCAAGGCGACGAUCCGUAGCUGGUCUGAGAGGAUGAUCAGCCACACUGGAACUGAGACACGGUCCAGACUCCUACGGGAGGCAGCAGUGGGGAAUAUUGGACAAUGGGCGCAAGCCUGAUCCAGCCAUACCGCGUGGGUGAAGAAGGCCUUCGGGUUGUAAAGCCCUUUUGUUGGGAAAGAAAAGCAGCAGGUUAAUACCCCGCUGUUCUGACGGUACCCAAAGAAUAAGCACCGGCUAACUUCGUG